UGGCUCAAUUGGUAGGGCAUGGCGCUUGCAAUGCUAGGGUUGUGGGUUUGAUUCCCAC
rnacentral:tRNA from 1 species